UACGUAGGGGGCAAGCGUUGUCCGGAAUUAUUGGGCGUAAAGCGCGCGCAGGCGGUUUUUUAAGUCUGGUGUAUAAACCUUGGGCUCAACUUAAGGAGGCACUGGAAACUGGGGAACUGGAGUGUAGGAGAGGAAAGUGGAAUUCCACGUGUAGCGGUGAAAUGCGUAGAGAUGUGGAGGAACACCAGUGGCGAAGGCGACUUACUGGACACAUAUUGACGCUGAGGUGCGAAAGCGUGGGGAGCAAACAGG
rnacentral:rRNA from 1 species